rnacentral:rRNA from 1 species
UACGGAGGAUCCAAGCGUUAUCCGGAUUCAUUGGGUUUAAAGGGUGCGUAGGCGGACUUGUAAGUCAGUGGUGAAAUCUCUUUGCUUAACAAAGAAACUGCCAUUGAUACUGCUAGUCUAGAGUAUAGAUGACGUUGGCGGAAUAUGACAUGUAGUGGUGAAAUACUUAGAUAUGUCAUAGAACACCGAUUGCGAAGGCAGCUAACGAAACUAUAACUGACGCUGAGGCACGAAAGUGCGGGGAUCAAACAGG